rnacentral:rRNA from 1 species
CCUUAGAGUUUGAUCCUGGCUCAGGACGAACGCUGGCGGCGUGCUUAACACAUGCAAGUCGAACGGGGUGUUUAUUUCGGUAAACACCAAGUGGCGAACGGGUGAGUAACGCGUAAGCAAUCUACCUUCAAGAUGGGGACAACACUUCGAAAGGGGUGCUAAUACCGAAUGAAUGUAAGAGUAUCGCAUGAGACACUUACUAAAGGAGGCCUCUGACAUAAGCUUCCGCUUGAAGAUGAGCUUGCGUCUGAUUAGCUAGUUGGUGAGGGUAAAGGCCCACCAAGGCGACGAUCAGUAGCCGGUCUGAGAGGAUGAACGGCCACAUUGGGACUGAGACACGGCCCAGACUCCUACGGGAGGCAGCAGUGGGGAAUCUUCCGCAAUGGGCGAAAGCCUGACGGAGCAACGCCGCGUGAACGAUGAAGGUCUUAGGAUCGUAAAGUUCUGUUGUUAGGGACGAAGGAUAAGGAUUAUAAUACAGUCUUUGUUUGACGGUACCUAACGAGGAAGCCACGGCUAACUACGUGCCAGCAGCCGCGGUAAUACGUAGGCGGCAAGCGUUGUCCGGAAUUAUUGGGCGUAAAGGGAGCGCAGGCGGGAAACUAAGCGGAUCUUAAAAGUGCGGGGCUCAACCCCGUGAUGGGGUCCGAACUGGUUUUCUUGAGUGCAGGAGAGGAAAGCGGAAUUCCCAGUGUAGCGGUGAAAUGCGUAGAUAUUGGGAAGAACACCAGUGGCGAAGGCGGCUUUCUGGACUGUAACUGACGCUGAGGCUCGAAAGCUAGGGUAGCGAACGGGAUUAGAUACCCCGGUAGUCCUAGCCGUAAACGAUGGAUACUAGGUGUGGGAGGUAUCGACCCCUUCCGUGCCGGAGUUAACGCAAUAAGUAUCCCGCCUGGGGAGUACGGCCGCAAGGU